rnacentral:tRNA from 5 species
UCUGUAGCUCAGUCGGUAGAGCAGAGGACUGAAAAUCCUCGUGUCGUUGGUUCGAUUCCGACCGG